rnacentral:misc_RNA from 1 species
ACCCUGAUCCCAAGCACCAUGGAGCCGACGAUUUGGAUCAAGACCUACAUCCCAAGCACCAAGGUGCCUGGUUGAUAUUGAUCGCGAUCCCGAUCCGGAGCUCCAGGGCGCCGAGGAUUUCGAUCACGAUCCCGAUCUGAAGCACCGAGUAGCCGAGGAUAUGGAUCAAGACCCCGGUCCGAAGCGACAAGGAGGCAAGGAUUUGGAUCACCAAUCCGAUCAAAGGCACCAAGGCGUCGAGGGAUUGGAUCGAGAUCCCGAUCCCAAUCAUGAAGUUGGCUAUGUAAUUUCCUGUUUUCCACACCGUUCAGGGCAUUUUGGUGGUCGUAUCGGCUUUUAGUUGCUUGCUUGGUGUUAGUGCCAAGGGAGUGGUUGGAAGCUAGGUCGUCCUCUGGAAUGCUUGUUGUAAAGGUGUAUGAGUUGUGUUUGGCUUGUUACGGGUGUUUGUUGGCUGCUUGUGCAGGAACUUUCAUGCGUCCAAGCCUCUUCAGUUGUGCUACAAGGCUUUGUUUGUCUUGUGCAUACGGUGGGUUUCCUGUGUUGCAUACCUAAUCAAGGGCAUCGUAUGGCUUGAUAGAAGUAAAUAUUCGUAAUGCGCCGCUUGCGGCGUUGCACGAACCUCGAAGUGGUCUCUGUGGCCCAUGUUGUCUUUGCUCAUGCAUGGAUGGCAUGGCCCUCGGAGCGUCGCUUGGUCUCUUGGAUAUGGAACCUGAUGAUGUGGGCGGUAGGGUCUUGGAUGAUUCUACCUUCGC